UACGUAGGGGGCAAGCGUUGUCCGGAAUCAUUGGGCGUAAAGAGCGUGUAGGCGGCUUGGUAAGUCCGCUGUGAAAGUCCAGGGCUCAACCCUGGAAAGCCGGUGGAAACUGUCAAGCUUGAGUCCGGAAGAGGCGAGUGGAAUUCCUGGUGUAGCGGUGAAAUGCGCAGAUAUCAGGAGGAACACCAAUGGCGAAGGCGACUCACUGGCCCGUUACUGACGCUGAGACGCGAAAGCGUGGGGAGCGAACAGG
rnacentral:rRNA from 1 species